CACAGGCAGCCCUGUCUAAGACACCAGGAAUUGGGGGUCCCUAGCUUUAAGUCGUGGCAUGCGCUGAUUGUUUGGGAUCGGCCUCAAGACUUCAGCCUUGGCCUACCUAGGCGAUAACCUCUCAGACUGGAGCCAUUCUCAGUGUCCAGGCCCAGGUUUGAGGCUGUGAUGACUCAACUCCGCGUCCCCUCCCCUUGCUAAACUGCGGUCUCCGCCUACCCCCAAUCAAUCUCAAGGAAGUACUUUGGGCGGCAGGAUUCCCAGCACUUAGCUGGUGGGUAAAGGGGCUCAUGCCCUUCCCCACAUCCCACCUUCCCUCCUCCCAGUCUUCGGGAGUGUGGAGCUUCUGCCGGGAUCCGGUAGUCGAAGAAGGAUAUAACCUCCAGACCUGGUAUUUAAGACGCAAGAACCAGCCAGCAAAUGUGGCAGCCGAGCACGCGAGGGAAGGUGGUAGCUGCGGAAGAAGUAGCCGUUUUUUUAUUUGGAGGCUAUGAAACUUGGGAUUCUACUGAGAAGCAGAUGGAGAUGGGAAGCCACAAAAACAAAGACUUUGGACUAUGGACCAGUACCUGGCAGCACGGACACACCCAGCAGCCUAGACUUGGGGUAUGAGCAAUCAUUGCUCUUUUUAAGGCUCCUUACUCAGGCCAUCUACUUUGUUUCCCCACUGAACUGUAUUGCAGUAAAGGCUUCAUCAGCUGGAGAUGAAGAUGUAGAAGUCUCAGCUCCUUCAGAGCUAUGUCUGCCAGGAUGCUGCCAGGCUCCCUCCUUGAUGAUAAUGGACUGAACCUCUGAACCUUCUUCAUUUAAACUGGUCCAUCAAGAGGUGGAGCAGAGUCAAUAAUGAACCACGAACCUGCGUGGAGGUUGCAUGAAAGGAAAAGGAGAAUCAACCACUAACACCCACGUGGCCGUAGCCCCAGCUUUAAGAAUCAGAAAGAGGUCUUCUUCCAUUUCCUUCUUCAGAGUCUUGAAGUUCUUGUCAUACAGAUCUUUCACAUGUUUGGGACGAGAAGCUACAACAUUACUUCUACAGAUUUUCAAAGGAGGCCACGUUCCAAGAUGAGAUAAAUAACCAGUGAGUUAUGUUCCUUUCAGUUUAGAAGAGAUAAUUCUGAGAUUCCAAGGAUGCUUUCCAAACCAGGAAUGACAACCGGAAUAUUUGACACUAUUGUGCUAUUUACUAAUGUUGCCGCCUUACAGGAAGCCAAUGGCUAUUCUAUUUGACUGAAUGAGAAGAAAAGGAAGUCAUUUCCUGUCAACCCUGCUUUGAAUUCCUGGACAGUUUAAGAAGCACCACUGAUCUGAUCAUUGGCACCGAGGAGGAAAUGCCCAUCCACUGAAGACAUGCAGGGCUCAUCCCAGUUUGACAUGGGCAGUGAGUGGUUCCUUACAUAUCCCUUUCUGUAAACUACCCUCUCACACACAUGCCUGCUUCCUUCUUUAAGCAGCCACAUUGGUGGUGCCUCUGUUGUAAGAAUGACUAGAUAGUGGUAAGGAAAGCAUUUGGGAAGGUGAAUCUGUUUUUUCUUUUCUGGUGCUCUCUCAAAACAGGAGAUGUUUUUGUUGAGUAGAUGCAGUCAGUGGUUUCUUGGAUUUGGGGAGUUAAAAAUCAUGCUGCACAGGCCUAUUGACUCAUCAGUGUGAGUAGUUUGAGGUAGUGUUGUUGUGAUUGAGAGGCAUCAACUCGCCACUGUAAAGCUUUAACAUGAAGCCAAGCAGGUUUUAAUGACACAGGACUCUUAAUGAAUGAAGUUUUAAGGGAUAGAAUUUUCACAAUGAAAUAAGAAAAAUCUCAAGAAAAAGGUUAGGCUCUAGUAAAAACAAGCUGUGUCAUAAGAGUGGUUUUCUAUAUUCAACAUUACCCUUCACAUAUGCUCAGAAAAAUAUGUUAUGCUCAAACUAGUUCAUAGUCUUCAGAAAUAGGAAUGGAUGUUAUACUUCAAUGUAAUAUUAAUAUAUUACAUAUAAAAGUAAACACUUUUGGUGAUAAAAAUGUUGACUAUAAAUGUCAGCAAGCUUAUUUUGUCUUUCAGUUUAAAAAAAUUAUUUGUAUUCUGUGUACAUUGGUAUUUGCCUGAAUGUGUGUCUGUGUGAGGGUGUCAGAGUCUCUGGAACUGGAGGUAUAGACAGUUGUGAGUUGCCAUUGGGAGGUUGGUCCUUUGAAAGAAGAGCCAAAUGUUCUUAACUACCAAGCCAUCUCUCUAGUUCAAAUUUCCUUUCUUAAUAGUACCAGCUAUGUUUAAUUAAAAAAAAAACCUAAAGAUGUUUUUGAAAUAUGUAAAGAUGUGAUGGAUUAUAGCAGUGAAAAUUUAGUUUCUCCUUCCCUCUAGUCUCCCCCCACCUUUAUAAUUGCUUCUGAGAAGUCUUGCUGCUCCUUGCUUUCCACAUCAUAAACACCAAACUCAUAGAGGAUAAAGGGGCUGGGGGAUGUUUAGUUGGCAAAGUACUUGCAGCAUAAGCCUGAGGCCCUGAGUUUGAGUCCCAGAACCUACCUAAAAAUGGCAUGAAUUUGUAAUCCAGGGCUGAACGGGGAGACAGCGAGCUCCUGGGGCUGCUAGCCUUCCAGUCUCAUUUAUUAGGUGAAUCAAUAAAGUCAUGUCUCAAAUCAAGGUGUCUGGUUUCUGAAGACUUAUACCUGUGGUUGAGCUCUGGCUUCCACACAUGCACAUGUACCUAUACAUUCAUGUGCAUUCACAUAAACAUGUAUGUGUAUGAGCAUAAACUCACUGCUUACUUUAAUAGUCCAAUUAGUUCUCUUAAUGUCCUACUGAGAGCAUUGUUGAUAGUGACAGUCCUUUUCAUGAACAUCAAGUUAUCUGAGCAUUCUCUAUAUCAAAUCAGCAGAACAGCAGGACAUAUGUGUCUAUAAUCUCUUUCUUCUAUUGACAGUAAUUAAAAAAAGAAGAGUAGCCAACAGCCCUCAGGAUUAACUUCAACUGAACGUCAGAAUUCUUACUGUGCCCAGUUACUAAGAAUUGAAGAGGAAAAUAAGAUAUGUGACAUGAAACUCGAGCCCAGUUCAACAGCAUGACAUAUUGGAGUUUAUAUAUAAUGGAAUGUGUAGCUCACCCUCCCAUGCUCCCAUGACAGUGGGCAGAGACUGACAAGUCUCCUUACACUGUCCCAUGUUCCAUUCACUCUUCAUUUGCAAACUCUAUGAGGCACUCUGCACUGACCCAUGGUAGGCUUUCCAAGCCGUCUAAUCCUUUUCCUUAUCGCUGCUUAUGUUCCAAGAAGAUCUGGCUCUGGGUGUAUUUACUGAGAUAAUGAUUUACUAUUCUAAACAAUUACUUUUUACCAUUGCUAGAAACAAUUCUGUAUAUAAGAGCCUUUUUAUUCCUCCUCCUCUUCCUCCUCCUUAAAUAAAGGAAUUUGCCUCCACUGUGGUAGACUAGCACUGGGUCAGAUGCUUACUGCAGAUGAUGCCAGGGAGGAAGCAUGGAAACCAUUAUGAAGGAUAUAAGCUAUAAACUCAGUUUAUCUCUAUUGAAUUCUCAGGGACCUCUAAGAAUGAAAGGAUCUGUUUGUUAAUGGCUUUUCCAAAUAAAAGCCACCCAAGGGCAUUGAUGUCAUGCAUCACUAGCAGCCUUGAAAUGUCCGGGCAAUCAGGAAUCACUGGCAUUUCCAUGGCAUGAGAAUGCCUGUGCAUUCGCUUUCACGUAAACAGUAGGGGCUCCUAACAUCUGAGAUUUGCAACGGGUCUUCUUUAACAUCUAAUCCACAAUGUGGUAGAGGCUUUGGACUCUCCCUGAUUGCUUCUCUCUACCUAUGGAGCAAGUUCUUACUGAAGGGGCAUUAAUUUUUAAAAGUCCCCUAGAAUCUCCUCAGGUCUCUAUGUCCUUGACAGAGUGGCUGUGGUCUUCAAUACAAUGCAUCAACUCCUGAAAGUAGGGUGCUUUUCUUAUUCAUCCCUUAGAAGUUGUAUCUUCCUAAGAGUCUGACUUUUCUUUUGAAAGAUAAGGAAAUUAAAAUCCAGUAAAGCUAGCCAGCCAUUCACAAAGGAAUAGAUAACUGAAGAACACCCUGAGUUCUUUCACUGAUUCAGAAUCUUAAUAUUCUAACAAGAUCCCGGGCAGCUUGUGCCUCUACAAUCUCAAGGUCCCGAAAACAGUGAUAUAGACGGUGACGACUAUUCUUGUUUGUCAACUUGAAUACAACUGGAAUUAACUGAAACUUCCAAAUGGGGGACACCUGUUUUUGAAGUGGGAAGAUCCACUUCUAAUCUGGAUCUUUGAGAUGGGAAGACUUACCUUUAGUCCAGAUCUUUCGAGGUGGGAAGAUCCACCUCUAACCACAUGGAAGAAGGAAGCUUUUGCUCUUUGCCUGCUUACUCUUGCCUCAGUAGCAAGUUCAUUCCUUCACUGGUAUUAGAGUCUGAUUCUUUAGGACUCCAGCAUACAUCGAAGAGCAGCUGAAGCAUUCAGCCUUGUGGACUGAGCAUCUACUGGAUUCUUAGACCUUUCAUCACAGACAGCUAUUGUUGUACUAGUUGGAGCACAGCCUGGAAGCUGGUCUAAUAAAUCCCCUUUCUGUAUAUAGUGAGAUUCAUUCUGUAAGUUGUUACUCUUAGAGAACCUUGACUAAUACAAAGACCUAAGAGCAUGAUGGGACCUAGGAGGAGAGGCAGGAACAGGGAACAGAGAGAAGGGAGAAAGACAAGACCAAAAGAGGCAGAAAAAGAAAGAAGGGUUUAGAUUCAGCUCUGUUCUAUUAUUCCUCUGGCUUGGGAAGUCACUGUUACUAUCAUUUCGUCAUUUGUCAAACACAGCAUGGUCAGUGAGGAGCAGAUGGCUCACUGCCUGCAACCUUGUGCCUUGGUCUAAAGGGUUCAAUGUGUGCAUUUUCUACCAUGGCCUAGAAAAAUGAUGUAGUAUGGGUUUUCUUUUUUACAAACCUUUCUUUGCUCUUUGCCCUACUUCUUAAUUUGAGAAUUUCCAGAGUCCCACCCCACACUUUCUGCCCCCCUGUACCCCAGUCUUCUUCCUGGGUGGUCUCCCCCUUCUCUAGCUCCUAUUUCAAAGUCCCAUUUGUCUGAUAUGAGCGCAGCCUCUCAGGGUUACUGUUUGCUUGGUUCAUCUUUUCCCUUCUUAUUGCUUUCACCCUACUAGAAUCUUUGUAUCUAAAGUGUGUUUUCUUUAUGUAGAGUAUAGUUGGGUCUUGUUUCAUGUUUUAUACAGUCUGAUAGUUCCUGCCUUUUGACAAGAUCAAUUAUUUGUAAUUAAGGUUCAAUUUACUUCUGCCUCUUUGCUUUUGAGUUUCCAUGCUUCAAAUGUUGUUCAUAGAUUUUUUUAUAUUUCCUUUGCUGCCUUCCUUUAUAAGAACUAGAUAUUUUAUAGUGUAGAGUGUCCAUUUUUUGAUUUUAAAAAUAUAUUUUUAUUAUUUCUUUGCAAAUGUCAUACAUAAAUACAAUAUUUUUAAAAUUAUAUUUACUCUCACUUCUACCCCUAACUCUUCCUGAAUCUAUUCUCACUCUCCAUCCCUUCUCAACUUUAUGUCUUUCUUUUUUAAAAUAUUAGAGAGUCCAGUUUAUACUAUAUACUCAUAGAUAUAGAGACAUACACUAGUGCAUGGUUAAUAUAGUAGGGGCCACAUCGUUAAACAAUAUGGACUCCUUCUUCCCCAGAAGUCACCAACUGUCAAUAGCUGCUCAUUGAGGGGUGGGAACACCUGACACCCUUCCUCCCAAGUUGGAAUGUUGAAUGGCUUGAUCUUGUCCUGGUCUUGUGCAGACAACCACAGCUGCUGAGAGUUUGUGAGUGCACUGGUCUUGUCAUAUCCAGAAGACACUGCUUCCCUCUAGGCCUCCCCAGCCUCUUGCCCUUACAAUCCUUCUGCUCCCACUUCCAAAAUUAUCCUAAGUUUUGGAGGAAUGGGUGUGAUACAGUGUCCCACUUAAGACUGAACACUCCACAGAUUCCGGUUCUCUACACUUUUACUGAUUGUGAGUUUCUGUAUGAAUUGAUGCUUACUACAUAAAGAAACUUCUAUGGGAUGUAGUAGCUUCACUAAUCAAGGGGUAUAGAGAUAUCAGUUCACUACAGUGCCCAUUUAGAAAAAUAAUAGUAAUAAGUUCACCCAUGGAGCUUGUCAGCUCCUUAAGCAUCGGUUCUGGCCAGAUGGAUAAUAUCAGGCUUGAACACAUUUCCUCCUGUAGAGCAGUCCUUAAAUCCAGUCAUAAUAUUUGUGCCACUGUUGCACUAUCAACACAGCUUGUCACACUGCUGUUACUGUAGUAGUUCACAGCUGAGUAAGAUUAUUGUCUCAGCAGCCUGCAGUGCAGAGCUCCUUCCAGGAGAGAUCUCAGCAGCAGAGAGAAAGCUUCCAGGUCAGUACCAAGUUCAUUCCUCCAUGUUCUGUGACAAAACGAUGUAGUUUCUUCAGCAAUGGGCUCUUAAUAUCAAGUUCUGGUAGGCCACCAAGAGGAAUGCCAAUGACCUCUAAUGUUUGAGGAUUCCCCAAAGACACCCCUGACAUUACCUUGCACUUCAGCUUUAAAAUACUUAUUUAUUAAUUCUUUGUGAGUUUCAUAUGAAAAUAUUAAACUUAUUAUAUAAGCACUCUCUCAUAUUUUUUAAUCUUAUUCCUUUAUGUACUGCCAUUUAUGUUACAAACCUCACAUGAAUUCUAGCUACUACUUUACAUGUGGUACAUAUUAUAUAGGAUCUAGACUCACAUAAGUUCAUGUUUGCAAAGUAUUAGAUUGAUCUUCAGAUUCACUUAGUCUGAUUUACUCCAUUUCUCCCUGAAGAUUUCAGUUGCUCACUAGUAUCUUUCCUUUACCUGAGAGCUGUGUCAUUUUUGUUUAUGUCCUUUAUGUUCCUCUUUUCAGAUUUAUGACAUUUCAGCAUCCUGUAAACCCAAUAGUGUGGUAUGUACAUAUACAUUGUUUUAUUAUGCUGUUCUUACCAGGAGUACAUACCCUAUACUUUUGUCUUUAUCAUGUUGUAACUGAGGUGAAAUUCAUAUAAUGCUAAACUUAUUAAAGUGGAGAAUUCCAUGGCUUUUACUGCACUCAUCACGUUGUAUAACCCUCACAUUCUUUAGUUUCUUUGGUUUGAAUUUUUUAUGACUUUAGAGAAAUUUCACAAGCCCUCUUCCUCUUCCCGUUGCAAACAGUCUUUCAACCUCAGUGGUGUAUCUAUUCUAGAUGAUUUACUUAAAAAAUUUAUGCAUUAUAUGAUUUAUAUCUGUUUUUUACUAGAGCACUUUCAAGGUUCGUCCAUAAGUACUCCAUCCCUUUUUGUGGUUAUAUAAUAUUUCACUUUGUGUAUAUAACAAAAUGUGCUUAUCUGUCUACAUGUUGAUAGAUACAAGCAUUGGUCUCUUGCCUCUGAGCUAUGAUUAGUAACUGCUGU